rnacentral:rRNA from 1 species
AAUCAACGCUGGCGGCGUGCCUCAGACAUGCAAGUCGAACGCGAAAGUUUCCUUCGGGAGACAAGUAGAGUGGCGCACGGGUGAGUAACACGUAGGUAAUCUACCUUUGGAUGGGGAAGUAACAACCGGAAACGGUUGCUAAUACCGCAUAAUGCAGCGGCACCUAAUGGUGACAGUUGUUAAAGCGGGGGAGUCGAAAGACCUCGCGUCUAAAGAGGAGCCUGCGGCGGAUUAGCUAGNGGUUAAGGUAAUGGCUUACCAAGGCUACGAUCCGUAACCGGCCUGAGAGGGCGGUCGGUCACACUGACACUGACAUACGGGUCA